CCGGGAUCCGCCGGGCGGCCUGAGACGCGGCGCGAGCCACAUGCGAGCGGGCGCCUGGCGGCGGCGGCGGCGGCACCAGCGAUCCCAGCAGCGGCCACGACGCGGACGCGCCUGCGGCCCGGGGAGCAGCAGCAGCCACAGCCACAGCAGCCGCCACUGCAGUUAGAGCGGCAGCAGCAGCGACAGCCACAGCAGCAGCCGCCGCGGAGAGCGGCGCUCGGCGGGCGCGCCCUCCUGAAGGAAGCCGCCCGCCCCCCACCGCCGCCCCCUCCGGCGUGUUCAUGCCCCCGGGGCCCCAGGGAGCGCCAUGGCCCGCGCACGCCAGGAGGGCAGCUCCCCGGAGCCCGUAGAGGGCCUGGCCCGCGACGGCCCGCGCCCCUUCCCGCUCGGCCGCCUGGUGCCCUCGGCAGUGUCCUGCGGCCUCUGCGAGCCCGGCCUGGCUGCCGCCCCCGCCGCCCCCACCCUGCUGCCCGCUGCCUACCUCUGCGCCCCCACCGCCCCACCCGCCGUCACCGCCGCCCUGGGGGGUUCCCGCUGGCCUGGGGGUCCCCGCAGCCGGCCCCGAGGCCCGCGCCCGGACGGUGACCCUCGCUCUCGCUGGCGGAGCAGCACCUGGAGUCGCCCGUGCCCAGCGCCCCGGGGGCUCUGGCGGGCGGUCCCACCCAGGCGGCCCCGGGAGUCCGCGGGGAGGAGGAACAGUGGGCCCGGGAGAUCGGGGCCCAGCUGCGGCGGAUGGCGGACGACCUCAACGCACAGUACGAGCGGCGGAGACAAGAGGAGCAGCAGCGGCACCGCCCCUCACCCUGGAGGGUCCUGUACAAUCUCAUCAUGGGACUCCUGCCCUUACCCAGGGGCCACAGAGCCCCCGAGAUGGAGCCCAAUUAGGUGCCUGCACCCGCCCGGUGGACGUCAGGGACUCGGGGGGCAGGCCCCUCCCACCUCCUGACACCCUGGCCAGCGCGGGGGACUUUCUCUGCACCAUGUAGCAUACUGGACUCCCAGCCCUGCCUGUCCCGGGGGCGGGCCGGGGCAGCCACUCCAGCCCCAGCCCAGCCUGGGGUGCACUGACGGAGAUGCGGACUCCUGGGUCCCUGGCCAAGAAGCCAGGAGAGGGACGGCUGAUGGACUCAGCAUCGGAAGGUGGCGGUGACCGAGGGGGUGGGGACUGAGCCGCCCGCCUCUGCCGCCCACCACCAUCUCAGGAAAGGCUGUUGUGCUGGUGCCCGUUCCAGCUGCAGGGGUGACACUGGGAGGGGGGGGCUCUCCUCUCGGUGCUCCUUCACUCUGGGCCUGGCCUCAGGCCCCUGGUGCUUCCCCCCCUCCUCCUGGGAGGGGGCCCGUGAAGAGCAAAUGAGCCAAACGUGACCACUAGCCUCCUGGAGCCAGAGAGUGGGGCUCGUUUGCCGGUUGCUCCAGCCCGGCGCCCAGCCAUCUUCCCUGAGCCAGCCGGCGGGUGGUGGGCAUGCCUGCCUCACCUUCAUCAGGGGGUGGCCAGGAGGGGCCCAGACUGUGAAUCCUGUGCUCUGCCCGUGACCGCCCCCCGCCCCAUCAAUCCCAUUGCAUAGGUUUAGAGAGAGCACGUGUGACCACUGGCAUUCAUUUGGGGGGUGGGAGAUUUUGGCUGAAGCCGCCCCAGCCUUAGUCCCCAGGGCCAAGCGCUGGGGGGAAGACGGGGAGUCAGGGAGGGGGGGAAAUCUCGGAAGAGGGAGGAGUCUGGGAGUGGGGAGGGAUGGCCCAGCCUGUAAGAUACUGUAUAUGCGCUGCUGUAGAUACCGGAAUGAAUUUUCUGUACAUGUUUGGUUAAUUUUUUUUGUACAUGAUUUUUGUAUGUUUCCUUUUCAAUAAAAUCAGAUUGGAACAGUG
rnacentral:lncRNA from 1 species